UAUGAUGGUGGGAAUGCCACCGCCAAUCAGUUCAUAAAAAUGAUGGAAUAAUUACCAUAGUGUAAUAGGGGUACAACCACUGAACUAUAGGCCUCUUUGCACAAAUUGUCUUUGUGAGUAUACUUGUGAUUUCAUGUUUUAGGUUGUCGAGCAUGCAAUUCUGUUGAAGGAUGCUUUUCAUUGCACUAAUGGAGAAGGCUCUUGGGACUACUAUUGAUGUUCAGGUGCUUCCAAUUCUAGUAUAAGUUACUUUCUAGAACUUAGUUUUCUGGCUUCUGUGGUAUCACAUUGUUUAAACUUCAGCACAUAGUAUCAUAGUUCUUUAUGGUUAAAUCAAUAGUAUAUAGCCAUUCUGGUGAUGAUCUCUCUAUGCUUAGAGGUUGUACACUGUCAACUUCAUUUCUUUCUUUUUAGAUAUCAUGUAACUUUUCUCUUACUUUGAAAAUUCUUGGAGAUAAUCGAACUCUUAUAUCCUUCUUUGUGUGUGCUGUUUGUGCCAUUCUCCUUAUAACUGUUUAGCCAGGAGUCAUCAAGUGUUCAUGAAGUGGAGGGAGAAGAAAUUCCUACAAAGCAAAGAGAAACAAAAUUGCUGUUUUGGUUUCGGGCAGGCUCUGUUUGAAAGAAACAAAAUUUAUGAGCCACAUUUUGCGAAAUUUUUCAGGGAAAAAAGAAGGCUUUUGGUGAGAGUGACAGCUUUGGAGCUGGGAAAGCGAAGGUUGUGGAAAAAGGUCUUUCAUGGUGAUUGCUGCAGCAACUAGCAGGGUGACACCCUUCUCUACCUGACGACUCCAUGCCUUCGGCAUCAGCCAAUUGAAAUUAGCUGAUUGAUGAUGGAUCUGAAAGUCUUGGAUAGUUCAAGUGAUUAGAGGAUGGAUCUGAAAGAAUGAGUGCAUCAGGAGAGAUUGGAUCCUGAGGGUUCAGCCAGCAAGCAUCAAAGUCUUCAUGGAGUAAGUGGAAAGAGAAGACCACAGCUUUGAGUGGUAAUGAGGUGGUUGAUUCGACUUUGGUUGAAAGCAGCAGUAAGAUUUGUGAAGGUAAAGUGGAGUUAAUGUUUUAGUAUGUUAUUUGGUGCUGGUCCCAUAAAAAGUGAGGUGACAUGGAAGACACCGACAAUUAAGCACUAUUAUAAUCUAAAGUGAGGUCUUGGGAUAAGAAGGUCAACAUCAUAAUCUAAAGAAGGUCAACUUUAUUA